GCCCCCCGCGGAUUGGCCGAUCCCGUUGCCGUGGUUGCCGCUUCUGCCCGCGCCGAUUGGCGGGGCCGUGUCUCCGUGGUGGAAGGGAAGAUUACGAGCGCGGGGCAGAACAAAGGAAACACGGGGAUGAAGGCACUGCUCGGGGUGCAUCCUGAGGAUCAAAAAGGCCAGCGCUGCGGCUGAGCGCUUCAGGUCAUUUCAGUGAGUGAGGAGCCUCCUCUGCUCCCCCAGCAGCGGCCUCACCGUGAGGGGCUGUAAUAUCCAGGGCCUGCACUGCAAAGAGUGUUGGUAAGGGGUUGUCAUGAGGAGAUGGGCACCGACCAUCCCAGCAUGCCUUAUGUUUUCAAGGAGCCAUUACUGCUCUAUCCCUUGGGUAUGCAGUUGUUAUCUUAAAAACAGAGGAAGGUUGACAUGGACUGUAACUGCUGGCUGGACUAGGAGUAUUAUCCCACCUAAAAAUAUCUUGGCAGCUAGAUUUUUUGUUUUUAUCAGUGGGAAUUGUAUGGCAAAUCUUUCACACAAACUUCAGUGCUGAACUGACUAUCAGUAACGUAAACCAAAUGCAUCAGAGGAUAAAAUAAGGGGGGAAACCCAUCAGGGGAAAAAAUCAGAGGUGUGAUUAUAUGCUUACAAAAAAGUUUAUGCUGGUGUAUAGGUAAAGCAUUCAAUGCACUGUUGUCACACAGUCCAGCAGAGGAAUUAUAGGUUAAUUGUACUUUUUUUUUUUAAUUAUCUACUAUUUGUUUCUACGAUUUAGAGGAAGAGCUUUCAUCUCCCUAAGCUCAAAGCAAGUAAAAUAUAAGAACUUCCAAGUGGCAGCCUAGACUAUUUAAUGAAUAAAAACAUUGCUAUAAGAUUACCAUUUAUUUGAGGUAUCAGUGCCACGUAACCCUGUGUCUUGAUUAUUUCUAGACAUGCAAGCACACCCACAUGUGGUCCUGAGUGACACCAUUCAUGUGACCACAGCAAGCAAGUUAUUUGCUUUUCCAAUACAAUAGGUCAUAGGGCAUUUAUCACAGCUCUAGCUUUUUCUCUGCCCUAUUCUUAAAGUCAUAUUUGAAUUCUAGAAUUUUCAUAAGCAGAUUAACUUCUCACACCAUUCUGAGUUUAUCAGCAUGCUAGGUUUUGUAAGGUUUUCUUGUUUGCUUUUAUUGCCUUUCUGUAUGUAUCGUUUCUGAUUUCUUUCCUUUUUCCUCUUCAGCUUGCCUUUAUAAAUUUCUUCAGUAUUUCUCAUCUUUGUUGUUGAAUUCCCCUUGGGAUGAAUCCCUUUUUUCCUUGUGCUUCCUUUUUUAAACCUCCUUUGCUUUUUGCAUUAACAGUUAUUUCUUUGAAUAUACAUUAGGUAUAGAUAAAAAUUAAGUCCUGUGUGGCACAAACAUAUUAUCAAUGCAGAUGCAAAGAACGACUGUAGCUCAGUGUUAACAGGUCAUAGAAGACAAAGGCUUUUUCUAAUACCUAGAUUGUGGCAGGAGCCUAUCUGCUGGUGAAUCUCUGUGCUUUGUUACCACGUAGCACUACAAAUCUGAAGCCCAGUAAAAGUGGAGGACAUCCUCCUCAAUUUCUACCUUUUCCUGACAAAGCUUGUCAUCUACAGUACUAUAGGAGAAAUUUCCACUGGCAAGGGUGACACUAAGGUUGGUUUUUUUUCAUCAUUCCUCAUCUCUGGUAGUCAUAAGCAGUAGUCAGUGAUUUGUGGGUUCUUCUUAAUGAACUUUUAAUCACCGCCUCCUGAUUACGAAUAGUUUUUUUUAUGUAAGCGCUGGUAGAGGCAGAAAUAAAAGCAGGCAGCUCCUCGAUUAAACAGGAGAAGGCGGUGCUGAGGUUCCUGGUGCUCAGCACACAGAGGAAUGGAAAUGCUCUAGCCAGGGGCUGAGGAAAUGGACUCACUGAGUGCUGUUGGAGCAGGAGCAAGGUUGAGAGCUUCUCCUGCUUUGUUUGCAAUUUUUCUGAGCAUCGUUUGUACAGGGAGAGGUAACAGGAACACUUACCUGUUCAGAUCAAUUUCAGUCAUGUUUUCUCUGAUGUGCAGGGCUGACACAAUGCAUAGACAGAUCCCUCAAGUCAGCAUUCCCUUAAGCACAGAACCUCGCUGCACAUAUAUUUCUGUUGGCAGUUUCGUCCCUACCUGGAAGCAUGAAGGCAGAUUGUGGCAAGAAUUGACUUGCUGCUUGGUGUGUACUCAGCAGCAGGGUUUUCCUGAAGUACAUCCUAUGUCUUGCUUGGGUGACACAGGUCUUAGCUGGCCCAGUUUUCUAGCUCUUUUGCUUCCCUGUCUUUUGCUCUUGCUGUCCUCUUACAUGUACUUUAUUUUGCGUUCUUCCCUAUCUUGCUUGCCACAUUGUCCAUUUCCAUUCAAGUUCCCUUCUCAGGAACUUGUUCACCACCAUCAGUAUUCCUUUCCCUGUACAAACUGUCAUUCCCAGCUGUCAUUCACCACAUGAGGAACCUGUUGUUCCUAGCAGUCCUUCCUUCUAGUAUUAAAAGCAGUAAAAGCAGCCCCCCCCCCCCCCAAGCUUCGUGUUUCUUAAGAGAAAUGUUACCACUUCCUCUGUAAGGUAAUAGCAUC
ensembl:lncRNA